GGCACCGCGCGGAUGCGCGCGGCCUCCUCCGCAAGCUCCCUUCCAGAUGUCUUCAGCCAAUAGAUGAGUCUUCUUCUCCCGGUCCCGGGCACCGGAACAAAUCGGAACAGGGUCUGUUCGUGGGGGCGGAGCCUGUCGCAACCCUGGUCCUUUCCACAAGCUCCAAGAUCGUGACACCGCCCAGGAGGCGGGCACUCAAGCCGAAGGUAUACUGGAGUCUGUUGCUAGUUCUACAUUCCUAAACUGUGGAGAAGAUGGUUUUCCAUUUGUACCAGUUCAUGGCCUGCUUCUCAGGUCCAUGCCUUUGCUCCAUGUCACUGACAAGCCAAGACCUGCAAGUUAUAUUCUCUGACUUCUCCAUGAGUGAGAAGAGGUUGGAAGACAAGGACAGAGGAGUCCAAACAAGGGCUACAGAAUGAGGAUGGAGACGCUGAUACUCAGAACAAAUGGGAACCCACCUGGGGC
rnacentral:lncRNA from 1 species